GUUGAAACACUGAUUCCCGUAUGAUCAUCGAAGUUAAGCAACGUCGAACCUGGCCAGUACCUAGAUGGGUAACCGCUUCGGAAUACCAGGUACUGUAAG